rnacentral:rRNA from 1 species
GACGAACGCUGGCGGCGUGCUUAACACAUGCAAGUCGAACGAAGAGCGAUGGAAGCUUGCUUCUAUCAAUCUUAGUGGCGAACGGGUGAGUAACGCGUAAUCAACCUGCCCUUCAGAGGGGGACAACAGUUGGAAACGACUGCUAAUACCGCAUACGAUCUAAUCUCGGCAUCGAGGAUGGAUGAAAGGUGGCCUCUACAUGUAAGCUAUCACUGAAGGAGGGGAUUGCGUCUGAUUAGCUAGUUGGAGGGGUAACGGCCCACCAAGGCGAUGAUCAGUAGCCGGUCUGAGAGGAUGAACGGCCACAUUGGGACUGAGACACGGCCCAGACUCCUACGGGAGGCAGCAGUGGGGAAUCUUCCGCAAUGGACGAAAGUCUGACGGAGCAACGCCGCGUGAGUGAUGACGGCCUUCGGGCUGUAAAGCUCUGUUAAUCGGGACGAAAGGCCUUCUUGCGAAUAGUGAGAAGGAUUGACGGUACCGGAAUAGAAAGCCACGGCUAACUACGUG